UGAGCUGUUGCUGGUCCUCAAAACAAGGGGGCAUGUGCACGCUCUGUUCACACAUCCACUCACACCUGUGCACCCACCGUAGUUCUAUGGUCUGGAGGACUUGCCGUCCUCUUCCCGUGGUUCUACGUCUUUACACAUACGCCGUAGCGAAGUCUUAUGGAAUGUGCGCCGCGUUUAACGCAAUACAAUACAACUUUCAGCAACGGAUCUCUUGGCUCUCGCAUCGAUGAAGAACGCAGCGAAAUGCGAUAAGUAAUGUGAAUUGCAGAAUUCAGUGAAUCAUCGAAUCUUUGAACGCACCUUGCGCCUCUUGGCUAUUCCGAGGGGCAUGCCUGUUUGAGUAUCAUGAACACCUCAACUCUCACGGUUUGCCCGUGAUGAGCUUGGACUUCUGGAGGCUUUGCUGGCCUAAGGCCGGCUCCUCUCAAAUAGAUCAGCUUACCAGUGUUUGGUGGCGCCAUGGGUGUGAUAACUAUCUACGCUUGUGGCCGUCUGCCAGGUAACCUUCAGCGAUGGAGGUUUGCUGGGGCUUACAAAUGUCUCUCCCCAGCGAAGACAGCUUUUUGAACGUUCGAUCUCAAAUCAGGUAGGACUACCCGCUGAACUUAAGCAUAUCAAUAA
rnacentral:rRNA from 1 species